AUUGAACGCUGGCGGCAUGCCUUACACAUGCAAGUCGAACGGUAACAGGUCUUCGGAUGCUGACGAGUGGCGAACGGGUGAGUAAUACAUCGGAACGUGCCCAGUCGUGGGGGAUAACGUAGCGAAAGCUACGCUAAUACCGCAUACGAUCUAUGGAUGAAAGCGGGGGAUCGCAAGACCUCGCGCGAUUGGAGCGGCCGAUAUCAGAUUAGGUAGUUGGUGGGGUAAAGGCCCACCAAGCCGACGAUCUGUAGCUGGUCUGAGAGGACGACCAGCCACACUGGGACUGAGACACGGCCCAGACUCCUACGGGAGGCAGCAGUGGGGAAUUUUGGACAAUGGGCGCAAGCCUGAUCCAGCAAUGCCGCGUGCAGGAUGAAGGCCUUCGGGUUGUAAACUGCUUUUGUACGGAGCGAAAAGGCUCUCUCUAAUACAGGGGGCUCAUGACGGUACCGUAAGAAUAAGCACCGGCUAACUACGUGCCAGCCGCCGCCGUAACAC
rnacentral:rRNA from 1 species